GAGAGCAGUUGAUGCCGGGCCAAGACCCUGACAGCUGUGUGGUGAAGGACGGUCCAGCCUCUGCCGGUUCCAGAACAGAAAAGAGCUAGAAGUAGAGCAGAGGAAGCAUACGUGUCGGGGUGAGAUCAACGAUGGAUAAAUACCCUGAAGACUCACAUUAACCACCUGGUUAUUCUCCUGAUCAGACUCUUUCUCUUUUUCAUCCGCCUCCUCUCUCCCUCCCCGCCACACGAUGGCCUCGGUCUCGUAUUCUUUACGGCACAAGUUGUGUCUGUCCGACAGGCUGGCUCGCCGCACCACUUUUCUGUGGACAGACGGGUUUCCAAUGAGUUGUGCAGGUCCAGCAGGAUGGCUCUGAACUCCUCAUCCUCACACAGAUCUUAAAAUGAGAGGGAUGAAGGACAGGAAACGUCAGCUCCUUUCAAAAAUAAACUGUGCAUGUUAUGUUCU